rnacentral:rRNA from 1 species
UUCCGGUUGAUCCCGCCGGAGGUCACUGCUAUCGGGGUUCGAUUAAGCCAUGCGAGUCGAGAGGGUUCGGCCCUCGGCGUACUGCUCAGUAACACGUGGAUAACCUGCCCUAAGGAAGGGGAUACCCCCGGGAAACUGGGGAUAAUACCCUAUAGGCUACCAAUGCUGGAAUGCCUGGUAGCCGAAAGUUCCGGCGCCUUAGGAUGGAUCUGCGGCCGAUUAGGUUGUUGUCGGGGUAACGGCCCAACAAGCCAGUAAUCGGUACGGGUUGUGGGAGCAAGAGCCCGGAGUUGGAUUCUGAGACACGAAUCCAGGCCCUACGGGGCGCAGCAGGCGCGAAAACUUUACAAUGCGGGCAACCGUGAUAAGGGAACCUCGAGUGCCUGUAUAUGCAGGCUGUCUGAGUGUCUAAAACACACUCAAAGAAAGGGCCGGGCAAGACCGGUGCCAGCCGCCGCGGUAAUACCGGCGGCUCGAGUGGUGGCCACUUUUAUUGGGCUCAAAGCGUUCGUAGCUGGGUUAUUAAGUCCCUUGGGAAAUCCGGCGGCUUAACCGUCGGGCGUCUAAGGGAUACUGGUAAUCUUGGAACCGGGAGAGGUGAGGGGUACUUCGGGGGUAGGAGUGAAAUCCUGUAAUCCUCGAGGGACCACCUGUGGCGAAGGCGCCUCACCAGAACGGCUUCGACAGUGAGGGACGAAAGCUGGGGGAGCAAACCGGAUUAGAUACCCGGGUAGUCCCAGCCGUAAACGAUGUGCGUUAGGUGUGUCGGUGACCACGAGUCACCGAGGUGCCGAAGGGAAACCGUGAAACGUACCGCCUGGGAAGUACGGUCGCAAGGCUGAAACUUAAAGGAAUUGGCGGGGGAGCACCACAACAGGUGGAGCCUGCGGUUUAAUUGGAUUCAACGCCGGGA